rnacentral:rRNA from 1 species
AGUGAACGCUGGCGGUAGGCCUAACACAUGCAAGUCGAACGGCAGCACAGUAAGAGCUUGCUCUUACGGGUGGCGAGUGGCGGACGGGUGAGGAAUACAUCGGAAUCUACUUUUUCGUGGGGGAUAACGUAGGGAAACUUACGCUAAUACCGCAUACGACCUACGGGUGAAAGCAGGGGAUCUUCGGACCUUGCGCGAUUGAAUGAGCCGAUGUCGGAUUAGCUAGUUGGCGGGGUAAAGGCCAACCAAGGCGACGAUCCGUAGCUGGUCUGAGAGGAGGAUCGCCCACACUGGAACUGGGACACGGUCCAGACUCCUACGGGAGGCAGCAGUGGGGAAUAUUGGACAAUGGGCGCAAGCCUGAUCCAGCCAUACCGCGUGGGUGAAGGAGGCCUUCGGGUUGUAAAGCCCUUUUGUUGGGAAAGAAAAGCAGCAGGUUAAUACCCCGCUGUUCUGACGGUACCCAAAGAAUAAGCACCGGCUAACUUCGUG